rnacentral:rRNA from 1 species
GGUGGGGUAAGAGCCUACCAAGGCGACGAUCAGUAGCUGGUCUGAGAGGAUGAGCAGCCACACUGGAACUGAGACACGGUCCAGACUCCUACGGGAGGCAGCAGUGGGGAAUUUUCCGCAAUGGGCGCAAGCCUGACGGAGCAAUACCGCGUGAGGGAGGAAGGCUCUUGGGUUGUAAACCUCUUUUCUUAGGGAGGAAAAAAAUGACGGUACCUAAGGAAUCAGCAUCGGCUAACUCCGUGCCAGCAGCCGCGGUAAUACGGAGGAUGCAAGCGUUAUCCGGAAUUAUUAGGCGUAAAGCGUCCGCAGGUGGUCAGACAAGUCUGCCGUUAAAGCGUGGGGCUUAACCCCAUAAAGGCGGUGGAAACUGUCAGACUAGAGUUCGGUAGGGGUAGCAGGAAUUCCCAGUGUAGCGGUGAAAUGCGUAGAGAUUGGGAAGAACAUCGGUGGCGAAGGCGUGCUACUGGGCCGAAACUGACACUCAGGGACGAAAGCUAGGGGAGCGAAAGGGAUUAGAUACCCCUGUAGUCCUAGCUGUAAACGAUGGAUACUAGGCGUAGUCUGUAUCGACCCGGACUGUGCCGAAGCUAACGCGUUAAGUAUCCCGCCUGGGGAGUACGCACGCAAGUGUGAAACUCAAAGGAAUUGACGGGGGCCCGCACAAGCGGUGGAGUAUGUGGUUUAAUUCGAUGCAACGCGAAGAACCUUACCAGGGCUUGACAUGUCGCGAAUCCCCUUGAAAGGGGGGAGUGCCUUCGGGAGCGCGAACACAGGUGGUGCAUGGCUGUCGUCAGCUCGUGUCGUGAGAUGUUGGGUUAAGUCCCGCAACGAGCGCAACCCUCGUUUUUAGUUGCCAGCAUUAAGUUGGGCACUCUAGAAAGACUGCCGGUGACAAACCGGAGGAAGGUGGGGAUGACGUCAAGUCAGCAUGCCCCUUACGCCCUGGGCUACACACGUACUACAAUGGUUGGGACAAAGGGCAGCCAACUCGCAAGAGUGAGCGAAUCUCAUCAAACCCAGCCUCAGUUCAGAUUGCAGGCUGCAACUCGCCUGCAUGAAGGAGGAAUCGCUAGUAAUCGCAGGUCAGCAUACUGCGGUGAAUCCGUUCCCGGGCCUUGUACACACCGCCCGUCACACCAUGGAAGCUGGCCACGCCCGAAGUCGUUACUCCAACCGUCAAAGGAGGAGGAUGCCGAAGGCAGGGCUAGUGACUGGGGUGAAGUCGGAACAAGGUAGCCGUACCGGAGGUGUGGCUG